rnacentral:rRNA from 1 species
CCUACGGGUGGCAGCAGUGAGGAAUAUUUGUCAAUGGACGCAAGUCUGAACCAGCCAUGUCGCGUGCAGGAAGACGGCCCUAUGGGUUGUAAACUGCUUUUGUACGAGAGUAAACGCAGAUACGCGUAUCUGUCUGAAAGUAUCGUACGAAUAAGGAUCGGCUAACUCCGUGCCAGCAGCCGCGGUAAUACGGAGGAUUCGAGCGUUAUCCGGAUUUAUUGGGUUUAAAGGGUGCGUAGGCGGUCGGGUAAGUUAGAGGUGAAAUCCCGGGGCUCAACUGCGGAAUUGCCUUUGAUACUGGUCGGCUAGAGAGUAGUUGCGGUAGGCGGAAUGUGUGGUGUAGCGGUGAAAUGCUUAGAGAUCACGCAGAACACCGAUUGCGAAGGCAGCUUACCAAGCUACUACUGACGUUGAGGCACGAAAGCGUGGGUAGCAAACAGGAGUAGAUACCCCAGUAGUC